UUUUGUUUCCCCUCUUUGAUGUGACUCCAAUCCCGCCCUUCGCUCAUUUCCCUCCUCCCCUUCCAUUACGAUUUCACGCUUCUUCAGUUUUUCAUCUACGAUUCUUCAUUUUCGCAUGGGUUUUUAUUUAAAGGUUGACAACAUGAAGGAGCGAGGAUGUUGAUGAAGUUUGAGACGAAGAUGUUCGCGAAUAAGGUUUAUUUUUCCAAUUUAGGGUAACAGUUUGUAACCAAUUUAUUCAUUUAUAACCUCCAUUUUGGGUAACAAUUUUAGUUUUAUAGUUCUACCAGUUAAUUGAUGUCAUGUUGAAAU
rnacentral:lncRNA from 1 species